rnacentral:tRNA from 1 species
GGCGCUCCGUGGUAGAGCACCUGACUUUUAAUCAGGGUGUCGCUGGUUCGAUCCCAGCGCGGCCCACCA